rnacentral:rRNA from 1 species
AAUCAACGCUGGCGGCGUGCCUAACACAUGCAAGUCGAACGCGAAAAUGGAGCAAUCCAUGAGUAGAGUGGCAAACGGGUGAGUAACGCGUGGGCGACCUACCUUCGAGUGGGGGAUAACCUUCCGAAAGGAGGGCUAAUACCGCAUGACAUCCCGUGUUUGGAUACACGGACAUCAAAGCCGGGGAUCGUAAGACCUGGCGCUUGAAGAGGGGCCCGCGUCCGAUUAGCUAGUUGGGGGGUAACGGCUCACCAAGGCUCCGAUCGGUAUCCGGCCUGAGAGGGCGGACGGACACACUGGAACUGAGACACGGUCCAGACUCCUACGGGAGGCAGCAGUGGGGAAUUGUUCGCAAUGGGCGCAAGCCUGACGACGCAACGCCGCGUGGAGGAUGAAGACUUU